rnacentral:rRNA from 1 species
UACGUAGGGUGCAAGCGUUAAUCGGAAUUACUGGGCGUAAAGCGUGCGCAGGCGGUUCGUUGUGUCGGUGGUGAAAGCCCCGGGCUUAACCUGGGAAUGGCCGUCGAAACUGGCGAACUGGAGUGUGGCAGAGGGGGGUGGAAUUCCGCGUGUAGCAGUGAAAUGCGUAGAGAUGCGGAGGAACACCGAUGGCGAAGGCAGCCCCCUGGGCUGACACUGACGCUCAGGCACGAAAGCGUGGGGAGCAAACAGG